rnacentral:rRNA from 1 species
UGGGGAAUAUUGCACAAUGGGCGCAAGCCUGAUGCAGCCAUGCCGCGUGUAUGAAGAAGGCCUUCGGGUUGUAAAGUACUUUCAGCGGGGAGGAAGGUGUUGUGGUUAAUAACCGCAGCAAUUGACGUUACCCGCAGAAGAAGCACCGACUAACUCCGUGCCAGCAGCCGCGGUAAUACGGAGGGUGCAAGCGUUAAUCGGAAUUACUGGGCGUAAAGCGCACGCAGGCGGUCUGUCAAGUCGGAUGUGAAAUCCCCGGGCUCAACCUGGGAACUGCAUUCGAAACUGGCAGGCUAGAGUCUUGUAGAGGGGGGUAGAAUUCCAGGUGUAGCGGUGAAAUGCGUAGAGAUCUGGAGGAAUACCGGUGGCGAAGGCGGCCCCCUGGACAAAGACUGACGCUCAGGUGCGAAAGCGUGGGGAGCAAACA